rnacentral:rRNA from 1 species
UACGAGGGGGGCUAGUGUUGUUCGGAAUCACUGGGCGUAAAGGGAGCGUAGGCGGGAGCUCAAGUUGGGUGUUUAAUUCCGGGGCCCAACCCCGGGCGUGCACUCAAAACUGGGCUUCUUGAAUAGGGGAGAGGUCGAUGGAAUUGGAGGUGUAGCGGUGGAAUGCGUAGAGAUCUCCAAGAACACCGGUUGCGAAGGCGGUCGACUGGACCCAUAUUGACGCUGAGGCUCGAAAGCGUGGGGAGCAAACAGG